CCUAACGUUGUUAGCAUUCUAAUCUUAAUUAUAAACUAUAGCCUAGGCUACGUCAAGAGUAUUCAAUUUGCUGUUAUGAAUUAAUUGUAUAGGCCUACUGUUAUGAAUUAAUUGUAUACUGUUUGUUGUCUUUCUUAAUGGGGUUUUGUAAUGUCGGGACAAUUUAUCUUAGGAUAGCUAAUGUUUAAACCAUAGAUUAUAUACGUUGGAUGUUGGAGACGCGGCUCGCGCUGAGAACGCAAUUUAAAAGUGAAAAAUACUUAGCGAACGGCUUAUUGCCUAUCUAGCUUCUACCAACAUUAUAUGGGGGAACGGGAACUCAUUGUUUUUUUUGUCUUAUUGUAGGACUUGAUCUGACUUUAUCCCGUGUGUGUGUACCCGGUUGACGACAGGCUGCCAUGUUUUGUCCUUUCUGUGGCCAUGAUCUGGGGACUGUUCAAGCCUUCUGUGGCUCAUGUGGCAAAAAUGUAAAAUUUUUGACUGAAGCUGAAGAUGACAGGUCAGCAUUGGACAGCCCCCACUGAGGAGGACCUGAUUCGGAAUUACUUUGAGGAUGGCUACAGCCAUGAUGAAAUUUUGGAUUUCUUGGCAACAGUUCACAAUGUUAAAAUGAGC